rnacentral:rRNA from 1 species
AGUGAACGCUGGCGGUAGGCCUAACACAUGCAAGUCGAACGGCAGCACAGUAAGAGCUUGCUCUUACGGGUGGCGAGUGGCGGACGGGUGAGGAAUACAUCGGAAUCUACUUUUUCGUGGGGGAUAACGUAGGGAAACUUACGCUAAUACCGCAUACGACCUACGGGUGAAAGCAGGGGAUCUUCGGACCUUGCGCGAUUGAAUGAGCCGAUGUCGGAUUAGCUAGUUGGCGGGGUAAAGGCCCACCAAGGCGACGAUCCGUAGCUGGUCUGAGAGGAUGGUCAGCAACACUGGAACUGAGACACGGUCCAGACUCCUACGGGAGGCAGCAGUGGGGAAUAUUGGACAAUGGGCGCGAGCCUGAUCCAGCCAUACCGCGUGGGUGAAGAAGGCCUUCGGGUUGUAAAGCCCUUUUGUUGGGAAAGAAAAGCAGCAGGUUAAUACCCCGCUGUUCUGACGGUACCCAAAGAAUAAGCACCGGCUAACUUCGUG